CUUUUGUUCUAGUAACCCACCUUUUAAAUCCAAUAAAUAUAAAUACUAGAAAUAUUUUCACACAUUAUCUAGCACAUAAUCCACUUUAUACAGGUCAGAAAAAAAAAUAAACAAGUUCACCUUAUUAAGUGCCAAAUUCAGACACCUAUUAUUCCAAAACAAUCUUUAUGACACCUGGAUAGCCAAAGAUCUCAUCAUCUGAGAGUAUACAUUUUUUCCUCAGUACACCAUGGUUACUCCAGAACAGAUAUAAGUCUGGUGGACAUUGCUACAUUACCCAGGUUUCAAACAGUGGAGGUGGAGACCCUCUCUUGGUCAGAUCAUGCACCUAUCACUACCACCAUAGCAUCCUUAUACCUCAUUACUGGGAGAGGUGCUUGGAGCUUUUUAAAUCUGAUAAUACCUCUCCUAGCCAGGUGGGCUAGCCAACAAUGUGGUUAUGUUUGGCCAUCUUAUACAACUGGGCACCAUCAAAAAGAAAAGGGAACAUAUUAAAACUAUAUCUCUGAAUAGUAUGCUUUUGCAAGAAAUCAUGCAGUCACUGUUAAAGGACCACUAUAGUGCCAGGAAAACAUACUCGUUUUCCUGGCACUAUAGUGCCCUGAGGGUGCCCCCACCCUCAGGGUCCCCCUGGAAGGAUUGGAAGGGGGAAAGGGGUAAAAACUUACCUUUUUCCAGCGCUAGGUGGGGAGCUCUCCUCCUCCAAUCCUCCUCUUCUCCUCCCUGUCGACUGAAUGCGCACGUGCGGCAAGAGCUGCGCGCGCAUUCAGCCGGUCACAUAGAAAAGCAUUCAUAAUGUCAAUGAGACAGCCGCUAGAGGAAAUAGGGGAAGGCUUAACCCAUUGAUAAACAUAGCAGUUUCUCUGAAACUGCUAUGUUUAUUAAAAAAUGGGUUAACCCUAGCUGGACCUGGCACCCAGACCACUUCAUUAAGCUGAAGUGGUCUGGGUGCCUAGAGUGGUCCUUUAAAAAUGUUGACAUACUUUGAUAAAGCAACCUUUUAACGCCAAUUAGUUCCACAUUGUUCUUACUGUAAAAGAAAACCCUUUCCUUUGCCUUAGACUAAAGAUCUAU